GACGAACGCUGGCGGCGUGCUUAACACAUGCAAGUCGAACGAUGAAGCCGGAGCUUGCUCCGGUGGAUUAGUGGCGAACGGGUGAGUAACACGUGAGCAAUCUGCCCUUGACUCUGGGAUAACUGCGGGAAACUGUAGCUAAUACCGGAUACGACACCUUGGGGCAUCCCAGGGUGUGGAAAGAAUUUCGGUCAAGGAUGAGCUCGCGGCCUAUCAGCUAGUUGGUGAGGUAAUGGCUCACCAAGGCGACGACGGGUAGCCGGCCUGAGAGGGUGACCGGCCACACUGGAACUGAGACACGGUCCAGACUCCUACGGGAGGCAGCAGUGGGGAAUAUUGCACAAUGGGCGGAAGCCUGAUCCAGCAACACCGCGUGAGGGAUGACGGCCUUCGGGUUGUAAACCUCUUUCAGCAGGGACGAAGCGCAAGUGACGGUACCUGCAGAAGAAGCACCGGCCAACUACGUGCCAGCCGCCGCGGUAA
rnacentral:rRNA from 1 species